rnacentral:rRNA from 1 species
AACGAACGCUGGCGGCAUGCCUAACACAUGCAAGUCGAACGAGACCUUCGGGUCUAGUGGCGCACGGGUGCGUACCGCGUGGGAACUUGCCCUUAGGUUCGGAAUAACUCCCCGAAAGGGGUGCUCAUACCGGAUAGUGUCUUCCGACCAAAGAGUUAUCGCCUUUGGAUGGGCCCGCGUUGGAUUAGCCAGUUGGUAGGGUAAAAGCCUACCAAGGCGACGAUGCAGAGCUGGUCUGAGAGGAUGAUCAGCCACACUGGGACUGAGACACGGCCCAGACUCCGACGGGAGGCAGCAGUGGGGAAUAUUGGACAAUGGGCGAAAGCCUGAUCCAGCAAUGCCGCGUGAGUGAUGAAGGCCUUAGGGUUGUAAAGCUCUUUUACCCGGGAUGAUAAUGACAGUACCGGGAGAAGAAGCUCCGGCUAACUCCGUG